UGUGUAGGCGGUUGUUUAAGUUUGGUGUGAAAUCUCCCGGCUCAACUGGGAGGGAGCGCCGAAUACUGAAUGACUUGGAGUGCGGGAGAGGAAAGUGGAAUUCCUGGUGUAGCGGUGAAAUGCGUAGAUAUCAGGAGGAACACCGGUGGUGUAGACGGCUUUCUGGACCGUAACUGACGCUGAGACACGAAAGCGUGGGUAGCAAACAGGAUUAGAUACCCUGGUAGUCCACGCCCUAAACGAUGCAUAUUUGGUGUGGGCAGUUCAUUCUGUCCGUGCCGGAGCUAACGCGUUAAAUAUGCCGCCUGGGGAGUACAGUCGCAAGGCUGAA
rnacentral:rRNA from 1 species